CUUAAAUAAACUCAGGUACGCAGAGGUCUGUUGCCUCCCGUAACUGUUCCUAGGUCGACUGUGGUAGGGAUGUGCGGAAGUACGGACGCUAAGAACAGCUGAAUGCAGCGCCGUUCUCAGUGGAGAGAACAAGUGGAAUCAGUUCAGCAAGCCACGUUAGACCCACUGCAGGCUGACUGCUUUCUGCAUUGCACAGAGAAGCGUUGUCAUGGAGACCGGUGAGGUUCCAUGCUUGGACUUGACACAGCUAGCCCAACUGCUCGUGUGUCCAGAAUGCCUGAACCUGCUGUUGCCACCGACUUCGAUCUGCGAGCGGGGACACACUUUCUGCGGAUUUUGCAGGGUGAUACUUGAGAAGUGUCCCGCCUGUGAGGGGCAGUUUCUGGAACACGCCCGUAACAUUCCUGUCGAAGAGAUUUGCACGAUUGUGGGCAACAAAUGCCCAUAUUCUGAGAGCGGUUGCACCUGCACACUGACACAAGCAUUACUGCCCCUCCACGUGUCAAAAUGUUUGCACAGAGGAGUAGUCUGUCCUCUCAACAAAAUCCCUGAUCACAGUUGUUCAUGGUUGGGUGUCCUCAAGGAUCUUGAAUCCCAUUUGAAGAACGUGCAUGGAAACAUGAUAUCUGACAGGAAUUACAUUACGAGCAAUGUUUUUCAAAGCGACGCUAAAAUUAUACUCCAUAAAAAUGAGAUAUUUAUAUUUUGCAGGUACCUCAAAGGCAGUGAAUGGUUUGCAAUUAUACAAAGAGCAGGGUGCACUGAACAUAAAUUCAAAAGCGUUUUUAGAAUCUGGACGUCACAAAACAAGCUUGAAUUUAUCAGCAUGACCUUCACUGUUACCAAUAUCAACGAAAACAUAGAUGAUGUGUUUGAAGAAGGGCGCAGUAUGAUUUUAGAUGAUAUCGUUGUCAAGAACUUCGUAACGGGCGGUGAUCUUAGCAUGAUGACUGUUGUUGAAGAGGCUAAAUAGUUUGCAGUGUUGCUGGAAACCGCAAUUACUGCAUUAAAAUUUGAUUGAGCGGUAUGGAAACUUCUUGGAUUCCCGAAGGAAGACGCUUCUGACUUUGAAAGAGCCUGUUAUGUAACUUCUCAGGCAGAUGUACUUUUGUCGUGUAAAUGGAGACGUUUAAGGCUCUUCAAAUCUCCAAAAGUUUCUUCCAAAUCAAAACUGUUACAGCCAAGCAUAAUAAAUAAAUGCACAAACAGCCAUUUAAUUCUGCAGGUGUUGUGUUGUAGUACAGCGGAUAUUAAUGUUGUUUGUACAACAGUAAUUAAAUACUAAGUUCCUUGCUCUGUGAAAAUGUAGAUCGUUCAGAUAUGUGAAAAUGAUACCCGUUUGGUGGAAAACAUAUACGUUUAAUAUUUGGUUAUUGACUGUUAAAAGGCAGGUGGUACACAUCAACUGCCAUUUAUCUAUGACGAGUUUCUGUAGCAAUUUUAUUUUAUAGCUGACGACUUAAGGGGGAAUUUUAUUACAAAAGUACUUAAUAAUAUAUGUGAAAUUACUUUCAACAUGAAUUUGAUUCAAUGUAUUUUUUUUCAUAUACGAUUGUAGAAACAUGGUUGCAUCUCUCGUAAAUCAAAUU